rnacentral:rRNA from 1 species
UGCGUAGGCGGUUGAAUAAGUAGGAUGUGAAAUGCCAUGGCCUAACCAUGGCACUGCGUUCUAAACUGUUUAACUUGAGUAAGAUAGGGGUGUGUGGAACUUCCAGUGGAGCGGUGAAAUGCGUUGAGAUUGGAAGGAACGCCGUUGGCGAAAGCGGCACACUGGGUCUUAACUGACGCUGAGGCACGAAAGCCAGGGGAGCGAACG